GAUUGAAGUUGGCAAUAGCAAUAAGCAAUUCUCUGUGAUUGAAGUUGGCAAUAGCAAUAAGCAAUUCUCUGUGUGCCUAUCAAAUCUCUUAAUUUUGAAUAAGGCAUCGAACUAGUUGAUGUGUU